rnacentral:misc_RNA from 1 species
UAAUAAUAAAAUCGCACUCUUGUACGUUAUAUCGUUGAAAUGCCGUUCACCAAUUUAUGAUCGAUUAAUAAAAAUUUUCGAUGUCAUAACAUAUUAUACUCAAUUAGGGGAUCGGGCCUUUGUGAAACGUCAGAGAAACCAAAACACAUUUAAUAUAUCCUAUUGUUCGCUUAUUCAAUAUAAUAUUUUUGGAAUUUAAAUAUAUCAAAAUGUACAGAAAUUCUCAAUAUUUGCUGUAUUCGACUACAUUACUGUUCUCAUUUCUCGUAACUACUAUAUCUAUAAUUCAAUCGCCACCAAAUAUCGUUAAAGAACCAUCUGUUGAUGAAUUACUAUUUCAAGUAGCUACUGAUCAAUAUGAAAAUGAUAAACCAUUUAUUAUCGAUUGCGAAGCAGAAGGAGAACCUGCUCCGAAAUAUCGUUGGAUGAAAAAUGGUAAGAACUUUGAUUGGCAAGCAUAUGAUGACAGAAUAGCUCAACAGCCUGGUUGUGGUUCACUCGUUGUUACCAGACCUAGAGAUGAAGAUUUUGGACAAUAUCAGUGUUUUGCUGAAAAUACAUGGGGUAUAGCUACUACUAAAUCUGUGAUGGUUGUGAAGGCUGAACUAAAUUCGUUUAACAAUGAACCAAACAUCUAUAUUGAUGCUCAAGAAGGUGAGCCAUUUAAACUGACUUGUCAUCCUCCGACUGGAUGGCCUAAACCAAUUGUAAAUUGGAUAAAAAAGGUAAAAGAUGACAGUAUAAAAAUUGCUGAUAACCAUAGAAUGACGACAGACCCAGAGGGUAAUCUUUGGUUUUCAAAUGUAACGCGAAAUGACGCUAGCUUUACGUAUUAUUGUUCUGCCAAGUCGUUGAUAAUGAAUGAAUAUAAAUUAAGCAAUCCUGUAAAUGUGAAUGUUAUUCAAAAUGCUGAAAUAUUUUUACAAAAUAAAUAUCCACCUAUUCGACAAUAUGUAUCCAGAAGGAAUGAAGUAGCAUUGUUGAAUAAAAAAAUUGAAUUGUUUUGUAUUUAUGGCGGAACCCCAUUGCCUCAAACUAUUUGGUUUAAAGAUGGAAUACCUAUACGAUUCAAUAAACGGAUUAUUUUAGAAAAUUAUGGCAAAAGUUUGACUAUUUGGAAAGUAAAUUUUGAAGAUGGAGGAAAUUAUACGUGUGAAGUUAGCAAUGGUGUGGGGUUACCCGAGUCGUAUAAUAUUUUACUUGAUGUCAUGGCUGUACCGAUUUUCACUGUUAUUCCACAAAUUGUGGAAGGAGGCGAAGGAGAAACUGCAGUUAUUAAAUGUGAAGCAAGUGGAAAUCCACAACCAUCAAUUAAAUGGAUUCAUAAUGGUCGUCCACUGAGUGAAGUAUCACCAAAUCCAAGACGUUUUGUCACUUCUAAUUCUAUUACAAUUACACCAUUGACUAAGUAUGAUACUGGAAAUUAUGGUUGUAAUGCUACUAACAGUAUUGGAUAUGUUUACAAGGAUGUUUAUAUUAAUGUAUUAGCUUUGGCUCCUGAAAUCACUGAACUUCCACUUAAUGUAAAAACUUUUGAUGGUAGUACUACUACGGUAAUUAAAUGUAAGCCAUAUGGAGUACCUAAACCACAUGUAAAGUGGAUAAAAAACGAUAUAGAAUUAACUGGUGGACGAUAUUCAACAUUAGAUAAUGGUGAUUUACAAAUAAGUAAAGUUAGUUUUAUUGAUGCUGGGAUUUAUACUUGCAUUGCUACUAAUAAUUAUGGAACUGCAAGUGCAUCUGGAAUACUUACUGUUAAAGAACGUACAGAAAUUAUCACUGAACCUGAAGACAAUGUGGUUAUUGCUGGAUCAGUGGCAAUAUUUCAUUGUGUAGCAACUGCAGAUCAUUCUUUGCAUCUUAACAUUGACUGGUUAAUUAACGGUGAACUUAUAGAUUAUGACACCCAAACUCGUUUCGUCAAAACUAAUGACUAUUCUUUGAUUAUUACUAAAACUAUUGAAUUGGACUCUGGAAUUUAUACAUGCUUAGCUAAAACUGAGUUGGACCAAGUUACAGCUAAUGCCACCUUUAUUGUUCAAGACAAACCAAAUCCACCAACAUUAUUGGAAAUUAUUUGUAAUAAAAUAAAUGCAGUUGUAAAAUGGCGACCUAAUGGAGAUAAUCGUGCACCUAUACUACGUUAUGUUAUUGAGUACAAUACCAGUUUUGAACCUGGCACUUGGUUAGUUGCAUCAGAUGAUGUAUCUGCAGCUGAUCUCAUGUUUAUUGUACCAAUGACACCAUGGGCAAAUUUUACAUUUCGAGUGAUUGCAAUGAACAAAAUUGGUAAGUCAAAUCCAUCUUUACAUUCAAGUGUUUGUACCACUCAGCCAGAUGUACCUUUUAAAAAUCCAGAAAAUAUUGAAGUUUAUGGUACUAAAGCGUCUAACCUUGUUGUUCAUUGGACACCAAUGCCAAAAAUUGCUCAUAACGCUCCUGACUUAAGAUAUAAAGUUUAUUGGAAACAAGAUAUGCCUGGAAAAGUCUGGAAUAUAAAUGAAACAUCAAAUUAUACUAUAAAUGAAUUAGUUAUCCCAAAUCAACCGACAUACAGACGUUAUAAAGUAAAAAUAGUUGCAUUUAAUGAAAAAGGUGAAUCUAAUGGAUUUCAAAAAGAAGUCAUUGGAUAUUCAGGCGAAGAUAUUCCAGUUGAUAUACCUAAAAAUCUAACUGUUUUAAAUGUUACUGGAAGUAAAAGUGCUAUAUUGAGUUGGGAACCUGUGUCACCUGAAUCUGUAAAAGGAGACUUUAAAGGCUACAAAAUCCAAUUUUGGGCUGAUAGAGAUGGAGAAGAUAAUAAGAUUGAAGAGAAAGUUAGUUUUGAUAAAACAACAAUGGAAAUUAAAAAUUUUUUUCCAAAUGCUAAAAAUUAUGUAUGUAUUUUUGCAUACAAUAGUCGUUUUAAUGGACAACAUAGUCCGUCAAUAUUUUUUAAUACACCUGAAGGAGUCCCUGAGCCUGUUAAUGGAGUAGAGGCUAAACAAUGGGGUUCUUCCGCAAUUCUUUUAAGUUGGCAACCACCAGACAAAGCUAAUGGGGUAUUGACCGGCUACGAGAUUUCAUAUGAAUCAAUGACUCAACAAGGGGUUGGCGAAAGAGUACAACGUCCAUCUAUUACCAAUCCUAAACAGACUAUUGCCAAAUUGACUUCAUUAAAACCAUCAACUAAUUAUCGAAUUUACAUCAAAGCAACUACAAAAGCUGGUAUUUUUUAUCGAACAGCAAACCAAAUCUCCUUUACCAGUAGACUCUAAACUAGAUAAGCCAGUGUUCAGUUAUGUACAUAAAGCAUACAAUAAAGUUUUUGAUACAGUUUGUAUUUUAUGGACACCAAACCUUGAAGGAAACCCAGGAUCUCACUUCUUUGUGAAAUACAAACUUAAAUCUGACUACUUGUAUGAAGAAACUAAACAUGAAUUUGACAAGAAUUUUAUUAAUGUAAAAGGUUUGAAACCAGGAAAAUUGUAUGAAUUAAUUGUAGUUGUUGUUGAUGGAGAUAUCACACAAGAAUCUG